UACAGAGGGGGCAAGCGUUGUUCGGAAUUACUGGGCGUAAAGGGCGCGUAGGCGGCCUGCUAAGUCGAACGUGAAAUCCCUGGGCUCAACCCAGGAACUGCGUCCGAUACUGGUUGGCUUGAAUCCGGGAGAGGGAUGCGGAAUUCCAGGUGUAGCGGUGAAAUGCGCAGAUAUCGGGAGGAACACCCGUAGCGAAGGCGGCACUCUGGGCCGGAACUGACGCUGAGGAGCGAAAGCGUGGGGAGCAAACAGG
rnacentral:rRNA from 1 species